CGGCGAGUGAAGCGGCAACAGCUCAAAUUUGAAAUCUGGCCCCCCGCGGGCCCGAGUUGUACUUUGGAGAGGACGCUUCUGGCGCGGCGCCGGCCGAGUGCCCUGGAACGGGCCGCCGGAGAGGGUGAGAGCCCCGUACGGCCGGCCGCCUAGCCUCUGCGAAGCUCCUUCGACGAGUCGAGUAGUUUGGGAAUGCUGCUCAAAAUGGGAGGUAAAUUUCUUCUAAAGCUAAAUACCGGCCAGAGACCGAUAGCGCACAAGUAGAGUGAUCGAAAGAUGAAAAGCACUUUGAAAAGAGGGUUAAACAGUACGUGAAAUUGCUGAAAGGGAAGCGCCUGUGGCCAGACUUGCGCCCCGCGGACCACCCGGCGCCCGCGCCGGGGCACGCCGCGGGGCGCAGGCCAGCAUCGGCUCUCCCAGGGGGACAAAGGCCGCGGGAACGUAGCGCCCUCGGGCGUGUUACAGCCCGCGGCGCCAUGCCCCUGGGGGGGCCGAGGACCGCGCUCCGGCAAGGAUGCUGGCGUAAUGGCCACCGGCGACCCGUCUUGAAACACGGACCAAGGAGUCAAGCAGUGGGGCGAGUGUCUGGGUGGCAAACCCGCACGCGGAAUGAAAGUGAACGCAGGUGGGAGCUUCGGCGCACCACCGACCGAUCCUGAUGUCUUCGGAUGGAUUUGAGUAGGAGCCUUGCCGCUUGGACCCGAAAGAUGGUGAACUAUGCCUGUAUAGGGUGAAGCCAGAGGAAACUCUGGUGGAGGCUCGCAGCGGU
rnacentral:rRNA from 1 species